GAGGCUAUACUUUCAGCAAUCAUUUCUAUAAUUUGUAACUGGUGAAAUGUGCUCGAAAGUGUCCAAAUUUAGCAACCAUGACGAAGAGCUUAAGUGAUCACUCCUGAGCGUGAAGUGGGUGUUUAGUGCUGCUUAAAGGACCACUAUAGUGCCCUGAGGGUGCCCCCACCCUCAGGGA